GACGAACGCUGGCGGCGUGCUUAACACAUGCAAGUCGAGCGGUAAGGCCCUUUCGGGGGUACACGAGCGGCGAACGGGUGAGUAACACGUGGGUGACCUGCCCUCAGCUCUGGGAUAAGCCUGGGAAACCGGGUCUAAUACCGGAUAUGACUCCAUGACGCAUGUUGUGGGGUGGAAAGCCUUGUGCGGCUGAGGAUGGGCCCGCGGGCCUAUCAGCUUGUUGGUGGGGUGAUGGCCUACCAAGGCGACGACGGGUAGCCGGCCUGAGAGGGCGACGGCCACACUGGGACUGAGACACGGCCCAGACUCCUACGGGAGGCAGCAGUGGGGAAUCUUGCGCAAUGGGCGAAAGCCUGACGCAGCGACGCCGCGUGAGGGAUGACGGCCU
rnacentral:rRNA from 1 species